rnacentral:misc_RNA from 1 species
AAAAAACAUAUGCAGCUAUAGUUGAACAGCUCUCGUAAUCACUAACUGCAGAUCCACUAAUAAUUGAAUUCGCAGACCAUCAUCUAAUUUAAUGUCAGUGAUCAAACUAAUAAUAGCAUAUUCCUUAAAAAAGUUCUACACGUACAUAACACUGCACACGAUUUCUUUAUACCUACAUGUCGCUUAGCAGGUUGAAUAUAUCAAAUUGCAAUCUGGAUAUGAAAAUUUCCUAAGGCAAGCAACCGUAAGUCAUUACACGUCACUAUUUUAUCCCUUGCAUUAUUGAUCAGCUAUAAAUGAAGAAUUUUCUCCUUUUAGCUAGCUUCAAUUUGAUGGAAGUCGAUGCCCUAUUCUGGCUGCAUAGCUUUCAGUUUCCACGAAAGAAUAGCUUAGAGGAUGUAGCUUUGAAACAGGUAGACCAACUUUACUAUGCAUUAUUAACAGAGUUGCUCUUGUUUACACCUUGGAGCUCCAUUGGAGAAUUUGUGAUGCUUCCAACUGAGCCAA